GAUGAACGCUGGCGGCGUGCUUAACACAUGCAUGUCGAGCGAGAAAAGUUCUUCGGAGCUUUUCUAGCGGCGGACGGGUGAGUAACACGUGGGCAACCUGCCUCAUAGAGGGGAAUAGCCUUCCGAAAGGAAGAUUAAUACCGCAUAACAUUGUUGAAAGGCAUCUUUUAACAAUCAAAGAAGCAAUACGCUAUGAGAUGGGCCCGCGGCGCAUUAGCUGGUUGGUGAGGUAACGGCUCACCAAGGCGACGAUGCGUAGCUGACCUGAGAGGGUGAUCGGCCACAUUGGAACUGAGACACGGGCCAGACUCCUACGGGAGGCAGCAGUGGGGAAUAUUGCACACUGGGGGAAACCCUGAUGCAGCAACGCCGCGUGAGUGAUGAAGGUCUUCGGAUUGUAAAGCUCUGUCUUUAGGGACGAUAAUGACGGUACCUAAGGAGGAAGCCACGGCUAACUACGUGCCAGCAGCCGCUGUAACAC
rnacentral:rRNA from 1 species